rnacentral:rRNA from 1 species
CCUACGGGUGACAGCAGUGGGGAAUAUUGCACAAUGGGGGAAACCCUGAUGCAGCGACGCCGCGUGAGUGACGAAGUAAUUCGUUAUGUAAAGCUCUAUCAGCAGGGAAGAAAAUGACGGUACCUGAGUAAGAAGCCCCGGCUAACUACGGGCCAGCAGCCGCGGUAAUAAGUAGGGGGCAAGCGUUAUCCGGAUUUAAUGGGUGUAAAGGGAGCGUAGACGGCAGUGCAAGUCUGGAGUGAAAGGCGGGGGCUCAACCCCCGGACUGCUCUGGAAACUGUACGGCUGGAGUGCAGGAGAGGUAAGUGGAAUUCCUAGUGUAGCGGUGAAAUGCGUAGAUAUUAGGAGGAACACCAGUGGCUAAGGUGGCUUACUGGACUGUAACUGACGUUGAGGCUCGAAAGCGUGGGGAGCAAACAGGAUUAGAUACCCGAGUAGUC